GCCGGGUGUGGCACACGCCUCUAGUCCCAGCUACUCAGGAGGCUGAGGCAGGGGGAUCACUUGAGUCCAGGAGUUCUGGGCUGUAGUGCGCUAUGCCGAUUGGGUGUCUGCACUAAGUUUGGCAUCAGUAUGGUGACCUCCUGGGAGCAGAGGAUCACCAGGUUGCCUAAGGAGGGGUGAACUGGCCCAGGUCAGAAAAAGCUGGGUGACAUGGCGUGCACUGACAAUCCCAGUACUUGGGAGGUGGAGACAGGCAGAUUCCAGGGCUCUCUGGCCAGCAAGUCUAGU
rnacentral:sRNA from 1 species